UACGUAGGUGGCAAGCGUUGUCCGGAUUUACUGGGCGUAAAGCGCGUGUAGGCGGCUAAGUAAGUCGGGCGUGAAAUCCCACGGCUCAACCGUGGAAGUGCACUCGAAACUGCAUAGCUAGAGUCCUGGAGAGGAAGGUGGAAUGCUUGGUGUAGAGGUGAAAUUCGUAGAUAUCAAGCGGAACACCGGUGGCGAAGGCGGCCUUCUGGACAGUGACUGACGCUGAGACGCGAAAGCGUGGGGAGCAAACAGG
rnacentral:rRNA from 1 species